rnacentral:lncRNA from 1 species
ACUACAAGCUCUGCCUCCCGGGGUAAUAAUUUCUUGUGUUUCCUUCUGUGCAUAUAGAGUUUAUAAGCAAAUACAUGUAUACAUUCUUUCCCACAUUUUUAUUUACACAAAUGGGAAUACAGUACUUGAGAGUCGUCUAUGUUGUAGUGUUCACCCAUUGUUCAUUCCUUUUUAUUAUGGAGGAGUAUUCCACUGUAUGAAUACCACAAUUUCUUUAUCUGUUUGCUGGUGAUCUUCAUUUUGCUUUAUUCACUUAAUAGAUAAAUACAUAAUAAUUCCCUCAUUCUUUUUUUACAGCUGCAUAUGUAUUCUACUAUAAAACUGGGCAAUAAUUUCUUAACUAGUCUCUUUCAUUCAUUUCUGUUGUUUCUAGUUUUCUGCCAGCACAAAAAAAUUCAGAAAACUGUACAUGUGAACUCAUACAUGUAUAAAUAUAUCUGUGGAAUAAAGUCCUAGAAUUGGAAUUGCUGGGUGAAAGUGUUUGUGUAUUAGUCCUUCAGAGUAUUUUACCAAUUAACACUCUAAGCAGCGAUAUAAAGAAAGUGCACAAAAUACUUUCAACAAUUUUAAGGAGUUACUGAAUUUACUGGCUAUUCUGCCCAUUGUUAUCUGUAACUAUCCUGAAGAACCAAGAAUCCAUUUAUUUGAUAAGCAAAACCAACAUUUGCAUUGAGGGGCUCUUUUCUUAACUUUAUGGGCAGGAAGUUGCUAUCUAGUAAAGUUAAUCCCUUUGUUUACAGGGUAACUGUAAGACUCAAGACAGUAUGGUUACCUUCUGGUGAGCUGAAAAUUUCAUUUGGGCAUACUAAGUUUGAGGUUCUCAUGAGGACUCCAAGUGGCUGUCAAGUUGGCAGUUGGAUAAACAGGUCUGGAACAGAAACAAAGUCCCAGUUGCAGAUGUGAAGUUGGCCAGGCUUGAGAGGGCAGGGCUGAGAGGUCCACACCUCCCCACCCAUGGUUUCUUGCCCAUGUCCCUAGCAACCCAUAUCUAGUUUACCAAAAUGGCUAUAUGUGGUGCCCACAAUGGUGUGGUUAUAAUCUGUGGUCUGGGAACAAAGCCACAUAGCCUGGCUAAACAACUAAACCAAUCUCUCUCACUCUGAGCACCAGUGGUCAUUCCUUUGUUUUGGCUUUCACACAUCUUUCAUGAGUCUAAUCUUUGAGGAAAACACAGAUAACAAAAGCUCUCGACAAGCUGGUCAGAGAAGAUCUUGAAAGCAGCUCCUGGGACCACCAAACAAUUUGUGGAAUGAAAUUUUGCCAAAUGCAUAGACUAAAAAUAGGUAUACUUCUGGCCAUUAAGAAGAACUUACUGAUUAUUAGGAUUGCAGAAGGUCGACUCAUUUUUUGUGUGUGAAAACAGAAAAUGAUGCCACUAUUUACUGAGUGCUUACAUGACACAGGGCUCUGUGCUGAGCACUUGAUGAGCACCUCAGUGAAUCCACACAGCAAUGCUAUGAACCAGGUUUAUCAUCCCUAUUUAACAAAUGCAAAACUCAGGGCUGGAAAUGUCUGGAGGAUUUGAACCCAAGACUAUCUGACUCCAAAGAACAUUCUGUUAGUUACUAUGCUUAUUAUAUGGGUAUAAGCUUAAAAAUGCAUUUAAAUCUAAGUACAUUAUUUGAAAACCUUCCAUGUUUUUAAAUAGUGUACUUAAAAACUAGAAGGAAAUACUACUAUUCACAGUUAUGUUAGAGAGGUGGGAAAAUAGAAUUUUUUUUCUUUUUUGAGACAGGGUCUUGCUCUGUCACCCAGGCUGAGUGCAGUGGCGAGAUCACAGCUCACUGCAGCCUCAAACUCCAGGACUUACGAGAUCCUCCUACCUCAGUCCCCUGAGAGUAGCCAGGACUACAGGCAUGUACCACCAUACCUAAUUUUUAAUUUUAUGUCGAGAUGGGUCAUGCUAUGUUGCCCAAGCUGGUCUCAAAUUCCUGGAUGCAGGUGAUCCUCCUGCCUCAGCCUCCCAAAUUGCUGGGAUUAUAGGCAUGAACCACCACACUCAACCGAGAGUUGUUUUUUUUUUUCUUUUUCUAAAAUGUUUGUGCUGUGGUUACCAUAGAUUUAUGACAGAAAUUGUAAACACACAUACAGCUUUUUAAACUAUUAUGAAAGUAUCUUAAGAGUCUCUUCAGGGCCAGAUAUGGUGGCUCACGCCCGUAAUCCCAACACUUUGGGAGGCCAAGG